GGGCGUUUAGCUCAGUUGGGAGAGCGCCUGCCUUACAAGCAGGAUGUCGGGGGUUCAAGUCCCUCAACGCCCA
rnacentral:tRNA from 3 species